UUAACUGGGGCUUUGCCGCCAUGCCCUUUCCAAUCGCUAUAUUUUAAAUAUGCCAGUAAUGACAUUUAUUGAAAAUUUACUGCCGCGUCGAAGUUAAAUAAUGUAUCUACAGGUCUUUAGACUAAGUCUUUUUGUAGAGAUAUGGCUCUUACAAAGUCCGUGGACAUGGCAGACACUUUGUACAUUUUGGCAAUAAGGGGUUAAGCUGCUGUAUAUGCAUAAACGCAUCAAAAUGGUGAGCUUUCAAACAGUGCAUUAAGUACUGCUUGCCCCAGUUGUCAUUCCAUUUGUUCUGAGGUAAUUCUUUCAAGUUGGUGAAUAUUUUCGGGCAACGAAGGACAUUUCACUGUAGUACCGCUAUCAAUCUUUAAAUUCAGGUUUCUAGUGGAGAUGGACAAAUACUGGUAUUUAUCAUACCAUUAGAUAUUUAAUAAAUUAUGAAAUCAAGAUUUUUAGAAUAAGAGUAUUAGCAGAAAAUUACUGAAAUAUAUUCCAGAAUGUUUAAUCCUACAAAAUGGUUUUCAAAAGGCAAAAUCAGGUAAUAAAUAAAAUAGAAUUCACAGCAUAAAUUUAUUACAGGGCUUCAACUGCAUAGGCAAACCUAAACUUUAAUCUCUAACAACUGGAAUGCUAUUGAUUAAGAAGAAAUUAGUUUAAUGGCAUCUAUAUGAAUUCCAUAAACUAAUUUUCUUCAUUGCGAACAAUGGCAGUCAGUUUUCCUUGUAUCUCCAUACAUAAACUGACCUG